rnacentral:tRNA from 1 species
GCUGCUAUAGCUCAGAAGGUAGAGCGCAUCCUUGGUAAGGAUGAGGUCACCAGUUCGACUCUGGUUAGCAGCUCCA